AUCCAUUUGUAGUUCAGAAAUAUGACUGUUGUCUUUUCAUGCUCAUAUGAGAUCUGGCUCCCUAAAUCCUUGCUAUGAUAUCAGUACAUUACCUGUCUGAUG
ensembl:snoRNA